rnacentral:sRNA from 1 species
UGCUAAAGCUGAAAGGGUCUAAUGUAAGA